UACGUAGGGGCCUAGAGUUGUCCGGAAUUAUUGGGCGUAAAGAGCUCGUAGGCGGUUCGGCAAGUCGGAUGUGAAAUCUCCACGCUCAACGUGGAGGGGCCAUUCGAAACUGCCGUGACUCGAGUCCGGUAGGGGAGUGUGGAAUUCCCGGUGUAGCGGUGAAAUGCGUAGAGAUCGGGAGGAACACCAGAGGCGAAGGCGGCUCGCUGGACAGUUACUGACACUCAACUACGAAAGCGUGGGGAGCAAACAGG
rnacentral:rRNA from 1 species